rnacentral:rRNA from 1 species
GGGCUCGCAGGCGGUUUCUUAAGUCUGAUGUGAAAGCCCCCGGCUCAACCGGGGAGGGUCAUUGGAAACUGGGGAACUUGAGUGCAGAAGAGGAGAGUGGAAUUCCACGUGUAGCGGUGAAAUGCGUAGAGAUGUGGAGGAACACCAGUGGCGAAGGCGACUCUCUGGUCUGUAACUGACGCUGAGGAGCGAAAGCGUGGGGAGCGAACAGGAUUAGAUACCCUGGUAGUCCACGCCGUAAACGAUGAGUGCUAAGUGUUAGGGGGUUUCCGCCCCUUAGUGCUGCAGCUAACGCAUUAAGCACUCCGCCUGGGGAGUACGGUCGCAAGACUGAAACUCAAAGGAAUUGACGGGGGCCCGCACAAGCGGUGGAGCAUGUGGUUUAAUUCAAAUCUACGCGAAGAACCUUACCAGGUCUUGACAUCCUCUGACACUCCUAGAGAUAGGACGUCCCCUUCGG